rnacentral:rRNA from 1 species
GAACUGUCCAAACGUUAUUCGGAAUCACUGGGCUUAAAGGGUGCGUAGGCGGCGUAGUAAGUUGGAUGUGAAAUCCUACGGCUCAACCGUAGAAUUGCGUUCAAUACUGCUAUGCUUGAGGGAGAUAGAGGUAAGCGGAACUUCGGGUGGAGCGGUGAAAUGCGUAGAUAUCCGAAGGAACACCAGUGGCGAAAGCGGCUUACUGGGUCUCUUCUGACGCUGAGGCACGUAAGCUAGGGUAGCGAACGGGGAUUAGAUACCCCGGUAGUCCUAGCCGUAAACGAUGAGCACUGGAUUGAAGGGACUCCCCAUAUCCUUUUGGUCGUACAGAAAUAGUUAAGUGCUCCGCCUGGGGGAGUAUGUCCGCAAGGAUG